rnacentral:rRNA from 1 species
AUUGAACGCUGGCGGCAGGCCUAACACAUGCAAGUCGAGCGGAUGAGAGGAGCUUGCUCUUUGAUUCAGCGGCGGACGGGUGAGUAAUGCCUACGAAUCUGCCUGGUAGUGGGGGACAACGUUUCGAAAGGAACGCUAAUACCGCAUACGUCCUACGGGAGAAAGUGGGGGAUCUUCGGACCUCACGCUAUCAGAUGAGCCUAGGUCGGAUUAGCUAGUUGGUGAGGUAAUGGCUCACCAAGGCGACGAUCCGUAACUGGUCUGAGAGGAUGAUCAGUCACACUGGAACUGAGACACGGUCCAGACUCCUACGGGAGGCAGCAGUGGGGAAUAUUGGACAAUGGGCGCAAGCCUGAUCCAGCCAUGCCGCGUGUGUGAAGAAGGUCUUCGGAUUGUAAAGCACUUUAAGUUGGGAGGAAGGUCAGUAGCUUAAUACGUUGCUGAUUUGACGUUACCGACAGAAUAAGCACCGGCUAACUCUGUGCCAGCCGCCGCCGUAACAC